CUACGUCAUAGACUCAAACUCGUUUCUCGUAGAACGAACGAGUUUGAGUCUAUGACGUAGG
rnacentral:pre_miRNA from 1 species